rnacentral:rRNA from 1 species
AGUCACUGACAUUAGAUACCCCUGUAGUCCAGGGUGUAAACGCUGCAGACUUGGUGUUGGAGGCCCUUUGGGGGCAUUCAGUGCCGGAGAGAAGUUGUUAAGUCUGCUACUUGGGGAGUACGUCCGCAAGGAUGAAACUUAAAGGAAUUGGCGGGGGAGCACCGCAACGGGAGGAGCGUGCGGUUUAAUUGGGUUCAACACCGUAAACUCACCAGCAGCGACUGUUACAUGAAAGUCAGGUUGAUGACCUUACUAGAUUUUCAG